CCUACGGGAGGCAGCAGUGGGGAAUAUUGCACAAUGGGGGAAACCCUGAUGCAGCGACGCCGCGUGAGUGAAGAAGUAUUUCGGUACGUAAAGCUCUAUCAGCAGGGAAGAAAAUGACGGUACCUGACUAAGAAGCCCCGGCUAACUACGUGCCAGCAGCCGCGGUAAUACGUAGGGGGCAAGCGUUAUCCGGAUUUACUGGGUGUAAAGGGAGCGUAGACGGCAGCGCAAGUCUGGAGUGAAAUCCCAUGGCUUAACGAUGGAACUGCUUUGGAAACUGUGCAGCUAGAGUGCAGGAGAGGUAAGCGGAAUUCCUAGUGUAGCGGUGAAAUGCGUAGAUAUUAGGAGGAACACCAGUGGCGAAGGCGGCUUACUGGACUGUAACUGACGUUGAGGCUCGAAAGCGUGGGGAGCAAACAGGAUUAGAUACCCUAGUAGUC
rnacentral:rRNA from 1 species